AGUGAACGCUGGCGGUAGGCCUAACACAUGCAAGUCGAACGGCAGCACAGUAAGAGCUUGCUCUUACGGGUGGCGAGUGGCGGACGGGUGAGGAAUACAUCGGAAUCUACUUUUUCGUGGGAGAUAACGUAGGGAAACUUACGCUAAUACCGCAUACGACCUACGGGUGAAAGCAGGGGAUCUUCGGACCUUGCGCGAUUGAAUGAGCCGAUGUCGGAUUAGCUAGUUGGCGGGGUAAAGGCCCACCAAGGCGACGAUCCGUAGCUGGUCUGAGAGGAUGAUCAGCCACACUGGAACUGAGACACGGUCCAGACUCCUAAGGGAGGCAGCAGUGGGGAAUAUUGGACAAUGGGCGCAAGCCUGAUCCAGCCAUACCGCGUGGGUGAAGAAGGCCUUCGGGUUGUAAAGCCCUUUUGUUGGGAAAGAAAAGCAGCAGGUUAAUACCCCGCUGUUCUGACGGUACCCAAAGAAUAAGCACCGGCUAACUUCGUG
rnacentral:rRNA from 1 species